rnacentral:rRNA from 1 species
UACGUAGGGUGCGAGCGUUAAUCGGAAUUACUGGGCGUAAAGCGUGCGCAGGCGGUUAUGUAAGACAGUUGUGAAAUCCCCGGGCUCAACCUGGGAAUUGCAUCUGUGACUGCAUAGCUAGAGUACGGUAGAGGGGGAUGGAAUUCCGCGUGUAGCAGUGAAAUGCGUAGAUAUGCGGAGGAACACCGAUGGCGAAGGCAAUCCCCUGGACCUGUACUGACGCUCAUGCACGAAAGGCGUGGGGGACAAACAGG